ACACCUCAACCCUCCAAUGUUUUUGCAUUGAAGGUGUUGGUAGUGAGCGCUGCCGGACUUUUGGUCGGCUCGCUUUAAAAUCAUUAGCUGGAUCCAUUCUGACCUGGUUCUACUCGGCGUAAUAAGUUAUUAUCGUCGAGGACGCUUGUCUUUCUAGGCAGGCGGCCACAGUAAGGGUGUUUGAACCGCUUCCAACACCAACACGUCUUGCUCUUGUAGCAAACACUUGAAC
rnacentral:misc_RNA from 1 species